rnacentral:rRNA from 1 species
GACGAACGCUGGCGGCGUGCUUAACACAUGCAAGUCGAACGGAAAGGCCCUGCUUUCGUGGGGUGCUCGAGUGGCGAACGGGUGAGUAACACGAGAGUAACCUGCCCUUGACUUUGGGAUAACUUCAGGAAACUGGGGCUAAUACCGGAUAGGAGCUCCUGCUGCAUGGAGGGGGUUGGAAAGUCUCGGCGGGCGGGGAUGGACUGGCGGCUUAUCAGCUUGUUGGUGGGGUAGUGGCAUACCAAGGGUUUGACGGGUAGCCGGCCUGAGAGGGUGAACGGCCACAUUGGGACUGAGAUACGGACCAGACUGCUACGGGAGGCAGCAGUGGGGAAUCUUGCACAGUGGGAGGGAGCCUGAUGCAGCAACGCCGCGUGCGGGAUGACGGCCUUCGGGUUGUAAACCGCUUUCGCCUGUGACGAAGCGUGUGUGACGGUAAUGAGUAAAGAAGCACCGGCUAACUACGUG